rnacentral:rRNA from 1 species
AACUUAAAUGAAUUGACGGGGACCCGCACAAGCGGAGGAGCGCGUGGUUUAAUUUCGAUGGCAAUCGAAGAACCUUACCAGGGUUUGACAUGUAUCUGCAUAUCUUUGGAAACAGAGAUAGCCUUCGAGGGUGAUACACAGGUACUGCAUGGCCGUCGUCAGCUCGUGUCGUGAGAUGUAGGGUUAAGUCCCGAAACGAGCGCAACCCCUAUCCCAUGUUACAAGUGUCUUGGGAAACUGCCUCGGUAAAACGGGGAGGAAGGUGGGGAUGACGUCUGGUCCGCAUAGCCCUUAUGACCAGGGCUACACACGUACUACAAUGGCAGGUACAAAGGGCAGCCACUUAGCGAUAAGGCGCGAAUCCCGUAAAACCUGUCUCAGUCCGGAUUGGAGUCUGCAACUCGACUCCAUGAAGUUGGAAUCGCUAGUAAUCGCAGAUCAGCACGCUGCGGUGAAUACGUUCCCGGGCCUU